GGGAUGAUUGUAUGUGAUAUGAUGGAUAUAUAAGCCAAUGUUUACAAGAAGAAAAAUAUAUAAGCCAAUGUUUAUGUAUUCAACUCUCCAAAAUCAGAUAGUUGUAUGCUUCUGUAAAAUAAAAUCCUAACCAUAAGCUACAGUUAGCUAUCAAUACUGAGGGGGGGGAAAAGAGUGAAACACGAACAUGAUUGUUGAGACAAUAACUACAGCUUUUCUUAUACUUUCAUUUCUGAUAACACGCAUCAACAUCUACAGAACCAAUGCCAUCUGUGAUUGUUGUGACAAUAGUUAAUGCACGGGAACUCCAUCUUAUCAUGCUUCGGGUGCCAAAUUCAGCAACGACUGAGGUUUACACGAAUAAAAAAGAACCAUAAAGAAAAUUAGAAGCUUAUAAGAUAUGUUCAACAAAAAAUCUGAGCAGUCAUAAAAGUAAACUAAUGAAACUGAGGAGUGAGGAAAAGGAAAAAUGCAAAUGAGACCAACUUACAAAUUUACAAUGAUCUCUCACUCACAGGGUCGACCUAGAACUGCAGAUAACAGAGCACGUGUAAGUGAAAGAACACAAAGGAGAUAAGGGGAAAAGAGAACACCAAUUCUAGCCAAGAGUAGAUAUGCAAGAAAUCCAGAGAUCAGAAGAAGCAGUUUCAGCAAGAAAUCCAGAGAUCAGAAAAAGUAGGACAUGGUUGGAUAGAGCAAAGAUCAAACGAGACGAUGAAGUAAGACGAUGUAAUUUAAGGAUUACCGCGUCUCUGCUGGUCUUGCCACUUCUCCGCGUGGUCCUGAAAUCCUUGAUUAAUCCCGAAGGUAAUAAUCUGUCCACAACUCUCUUUUCAUGUCUACCUACAACACAACAUCGCAAGACUACAAAUUAAGCUCUUCUUAUCGGUUAAAUAAUCUAUUUUUCCAGAAGGGUUCGCGCUAGUUUCUACCUUAUUCAGCUCCUGAGUUUGACAUCUUUCUCAGCAUUCUUGAGAUACCGAAUCACUUCAGGUUUGGAGUUGAAUUUGAGGUCAUUUGAUGGAUUCACAUAAUGCUAGGCAUGUCCAAACAGAAUAAUCAGAACACUAUUCCACCAUAAAAGGUUGAGUCUUUCUUAAUUUUAGUAGAAGUUUC
rnacentral:lncRNA from 1 species